CCUACGGGGGGCAGCAGUCGAGAAUCAUUCACAAUGGGGGAAACCCUGAUGGUGCGACGCCGCGUGGGGGAAUGAAGGUCUUCGGAUUGUAAACCCCUGUCAUGUGGGAGCAAAUUAAAAAGAUAGUACCACAAGAGGAAGAGACGGCUAACUCGGUGCCACCAGGCGCGGUAAUACAGAGGGCUCAAGCGUUGUUCGGAAUCACUGGGCGUAAGGCGUGCGUAGGCUGUUUCGUAAGUCGUGUGUGAAAGGCGCGGGCUCAACCCGCGGACGGCACAUGAUACUGCGAGACUAGAGUGAUGGAGGGGGGACAGGAAUGCGUGGUGUAGCAGUGAAAUGCGUAGAUAUCGAGAGGAACACUCGUGGCGAAGGCGGGUUACUGGACAUUAACUGACGCUGAGGCACGAAGGCCAGGGGAGCGAAAGGGAUUAGAUACCCCAGUAGUC
rnacentral:rRNA from 1 species